GUGGGGAAUAUUGCACAAUGGGCGCAAGCCUGAUGCAGCCAUGCCGCGUGUGUGAAGAAGGCCUUCGGGUUGUAAAGCACUUUCAGCGAGGAGGAAGGGUAAUGUGUUAAUAAGACAUUGCAUUGACGUUACUCGCAGAAGAAGCACCGGCUAACUCCGUGCCAGCAGCCGCGGUAAUACGGAGGGUGCAAGCGUUAAUCGGAAUUACUGGGCGUAAAGCGCACGCAGGCGGUUUGUUAAGUCAGAUGUGAAAUCCCCGCGCUCAACGUGGGAACGGCAUUUGAGACUGGCAAGCUAGAGUCUUGUAGAGGGGGGUAGAAUUCCAGGUGUAGCGGUGAAAUGCGUAGAGAUCUGGAGGAAUACCGGUGGCGAAGGCGGCCCCCUGGACAAAGACUGACGCUCAGGUGCGAAAGCGUGGGGAGCAAACAGG
rnacentral:rRNA from 1 species